UACGUAGGGCGCAAGCGUUGUCCGGAAUUAUUGGGCGUAAAGAGCUCGUAGGUGGCCUGUCGCGUCGGCUGUGAAAACUCGGGGCUCAACUCCGAGCUUGCAGUCGAUACGGGCAGGCUAGAGUUCGGCAGGGGAGACUGGAAUUCCCGGUGUAGCGGUGAAAUGCGCAGAUAUCGGGAAGAACACCCGUGGCGAAGGCGGCACUCUGGGACGGUACUGACGCUGAGACGCGAAAGCGUGGGGAGCGAACAGG
rnacentral:rRNA from 1 species